rnacentral:sRNA from 1 species
GUGGCCCGGGUCUUCCAGAAGGCUGUAGACCAGAGUAUCGAGAAGAAAAUUGUGUUAAGGAAUGGUACUGAGGCAUUUGACUCCUGGGAGAAGCCCCCUCUGCCUGUGUAUACUCAGUUCUAUUUCUUCAAUGUCACCAAUCCAGAGGAGAUCCUCAGAGGGGAGACCCCUCGGGUGGAAGAAGUGGGGCCAUACACCUACAGGGAACUCAGAAACAAAGCAAAUAUUCAAUUUGGAGAUAAUGGAACAACAAUAUCUGCUGUUAGCAACAAGGCCUAUGUUUUUGAACGAGACCAAUCUGUUGGAGACCCUAAAAUUGACUUAAUUAGAACAUUAAAUAUUCCUGUAUUGACUGUCAUAGAGUGGUCCCAGGUGCGCUUCCUCAGGGAGAUCAUCGAGGCCAUGUUGAAAGCCUAUCAGCAGAAGCUCUUUGUGACUCACACAGUUGACGAAUUGCUCUGGGGCUACAAAGAUGAAAUCUUGUCCCUUAUCCAUGUUUUCAGGCCCGAUAUCUCUCCCUAUUUUGGCCUAUUCUAUGAGGUAAGUAGAUUUUUCUUUUCAGAACCUCUUUUUUUAGCUGACAGUGGGUUGGGGCACCCCAAGCCAGAUUAACUUUGAGUUUCUUCUAGAAAUUGCCUAGAGUUAAGAUAUCUUGUAGAGUGUGUGAAAAAUGGAGUGUUUUUUGGAAA